AUGAACGCUGGCGGCGUGCCUAAUACAUGCAAGUCGAGCGAACAGACGAGGAGCUUGCUCCUCUGACGUUAGCGGCGGACGGGUGAGUAACACGUGGAUAACCUACCUAUAAGACUGGGAUAACUUCGGGAAACCGGAGCUAAUACCGGAUAAUAUAUUGAACCGCAUGGUUCAAUAGUGAAAGACAGUUUUGCUGUCACUUAUAGAUGGAUCCGCGCCGCAUUAGCUAGUUGGUAAGGUAACGGCUUACCAAGGCGACGAUGCGUAGCCGACCUGAGAGGGUGAUCGGCCACACUGGAACUGAGACACGGUCCAGACUCCUACGGGAGGCAGCAGUAGGGAAUCUUCCGCAAUGGGCGAAAGCCUGACGGAGCAACGCCGCGUGAGUGAUGAAGGUCUUCGGAUCGUAAAACUCUGUUAUUAGGGAAGAACAAAUGUGUAAGUAACUAUGCACGUCUUGACGGUACCUAAUCAGAAAGCCACGGCUAACUACGUG
rnacentral:rRNA from 1 species